AGUGAACGCUGGCGGUAGGCCUAACACAUGCAAGUCGAACGGCAGCACAGUAAGAGCUUGCUCUUACGGGUGGCGAGUGGCGGACGGGUGAGGAAUACAUCGGAAUCUACUUUUUCGUGGGGGAUAACGUAGGGAAACUUACGCUAAUACCGCAUACGACCUACGGGGGAAAGCAGGGGAUCUUCGGACCUUGCGCGAUUGAAUGAGCCGAUGUCGGAUUAGCUAGUUGGCGGGGUAAAGGCCCACCAAGGCGACGAUCCGUAGCUGGUCUGAGAGGAUGAUCAGCCACACUGGAACUGAGACACGGUCCAGACUCCUACGGGAGGCAGCGGUGGGGAAUAUUGGACAAUGGGCGCAAGCCUGAUCCAGCCAUACCGCGUGGGUGAAGAAGGCCUUCGGGUUGUAAAGCCCUUUUGUUGGGAAAGAAAAGCAGCAGGUUAAUACCCCGCUGUUCUGACGGUACCCAAAGAAUAAGCACCGGCUAACUUCGU
rnacentral:rRNA from 1 species